GAUGAACGCUGGCGGCGUGCCUAAUACAUGCAAGUCGAGCGAGCAGAUGAGGAGCUUGCUCCUCUGACGUUAGCGGCGGACGGGUGAGUAACACGUGGAUAACCUACCUAUAAGACUGGGAUAACUUCGGGAAACCGGAGCUAAUACCGGAUAAUAUAUUGAACCGCAUGGUUCAAUAGUGAAGGACGGUUUUGCUGUCACUUAUAGAUGGAUCCGCGCCGCAUUAGCUAGUUGGUAAGGUAACGGCUUACCAAGGCAACGAUGCGUAGCCGACCUGGGAGGGUGAUCGGCCACACUGGAACUGAGACACGGUCUAGACUCCUACGGGAGGCAGCAGUAGGGAAUCUUCCGCAAUGGGCGAAAGCCUGACGGAGCAACGCCGCGUGAGUGAUGAAGGUCUUCGGAUCGUAAAACUCUGUUAUUAGGGAAGAACAAAUGUGUAAGUAACUAUGCACGUCUUGACGGUACCUAAUCAGAAAGCCACGGCUAACUACGUG
rnacentral:rRNA from 1 species